GCGAUGUGACGUGAUAUUGGUGUAAAAAACAAAGGAUAAACCUCUCAACCGACGGUUGUAUAAUGCCAAAGGCGGCGCACAACGCCUAAUGGCCAGUAACACACUACCUGAGAUAGUAGUGUGCCUCUGCAAGUUAGUCACACACUGCAGGUGUACCGGCCCAUCCUGCCUCAUGCUGCAGGCCCAUACGCUCACCCUACCGC
rnacentral:lncRNA from 1 species